UACGAACUGUGCAAACGUUAUUCGGAAUCACUGGGCUUACAGGGUGCGUAGGCGGUCUGUUAAGUAGGGUGUGAAAGCCCCCGGCUCAACCGGGGAAUUGCGCCCUAAACUGGCGGACUGGAGUGAGAUAGGGGUGUGCGGAACUUCCGGUGGCGCGGUGAAAUGUGUUGAUAUCGGAAGGAACGCCGGUGGCGAAAGCGGCACACUGGAUCUCAACUGACGCUGAGGCACGAAAGCCAGGGGAGCGAACGGG
rnacentral:rRNA from 1 species